AGUGAAUAGAUACCCGGGUAGUCCUAGCCGUAAACGAUACUCGCUAGGUGUCGGCCACGGUGCGACCGUUGUCGGUGCCGUAGGGAAAGCCGUGAAGCGAGCCACCUGGGAAGUACGGCCGCAAGGCUGAAACUUAAAGGAAUUGGCGGGGGAGCACCACAACGGGUGGAGCUUGCGGUUUAAUUGGAUUCAACGCCGGAAAUCUUGCCGGGACCGAUAGCAAUAUGAAGGCCAGGCUGAAGACUUUGCCGGAUUAGCUGAGAGGUGGUGCAUGGCCGUCGUCAGUUCGUACUGUGAAGCAUCCUGUUAAGUCAGGCAACGAGCGAGACCCACGCCCACAGUUGCCAGCGUACUCUCCGGAGUGACGGGUACACUGUGGGGACCGCCGCUGCUAAAGCGGAGGAAGGAAUGGGCAACGGUAGGUCAGUAUGCCCCGAAUAUCCCGGGCUACACGCGAGCUACAAUGGUUGGUACAAUGGGUAUCUACCCCGAAAGGGGAUGGAAAUCUCCUAAAGCCAAUCUAGUUCGGAUUGAGGGCUGCAACUGCCCUC
rnacentral:rRNA from 1 species